UAAAAACCCCGACUUCGGAAGGGGUGUAUUUAUUAGAUACAAAACCAAUGCCCUUCGGGGCUCUUUGGUGAUUCAUGAUAACUAUACGAAUCGCACGGCCUUGCGCCGGCGAUGGUUCAUUCAAAUUUCUUCCCUAUCAACUUUCGAUGUUUGGGUAUUGGCCAAACAUGGUUGCAACGGGUAACGGAGGGUUAGGGCUCGACCCCGGAGAAGGAGCCUGAGAAACGGCUACUACAUCCAAGGAAGGCAGCAGGCGCGCAAAUUACCCAAUCCCGACUCGGGGAGGUAGUGACAAUAAAUACUGAUACAGGGCCCUUUCGGGCCUUGUAAUUGGAAUGAGUACAAUUUAAAUCCCUUAACGAGGAACAAUUGGAGGGCAAGUCUGGUGCCAGCAGCCGCGGUAAUUCCAGCUCCAAUAGCGUAUAUUAAAGUUGUUGUGGUUAAAAAGCUCGUAGUUGAACCUUGGGCCUGGCUGGCCGGUCCGCCUCACCGCGUGCACUGGUCCGGCCGGGCCUUUCCCACUGUGGAACCCCAUACCCUUCAGUGGGGUGGCAGGGAAACAUAACAUUUACUUAG
rnacentral:rRNA from 1 species